AACAUUUCAGGCUGUCAGCAUAAACCACGGAAUUUAUCUUUCAACUGUUUUUUUCACCAAAAUAAUAUUCUAAUAAGAGCCCCCUAUUUCUAAUUUUGAGAGCGCCCUGGGCGCUUAUUACGUAGAAUACGGUAUACAUGAUAGGUCAAUGGAGUUAUAGAAAAAAUCAAACUAUAAAAUGACAGAUAUUUUUUUGUACCUUUUUUAUUUGACAAACAUGAUAGGUCAACAUUUCAAUACAUGAUCUGUGUGUGCACUGUUCCAUUAAGAUGGAAGAUUGUAAUACAAAGAUUAUUUAAGAGUUUUGCAUCACUUAUGAGAUGUCUAUAUCACCAAUAUUUACAAUGCUGUUAAAUUCAAGUGAAUCUUUUCCUGUAUUGGAAUUUUGUGAAGAUAUAUAGCAGCGGCAGUUUGUCCCCCUGAUAUGCUGGUAACACUCGUGCCCUGUGAUACUCCGCGGAUGUACAUACUGUACAGACACUAGGACUGUGGCCACAGUAUUUAUCUGUCAUGUAUAUAAGUCAAGUCAGUUGUACAUUCUGUGCAUAUCUGUUGACACUGAUCGUUUUAAGUGCUAUUGAAUAUAGUGGAAAAUAGUAAUAUAAUUUUCAGUUGAUUAUGUGAGUAUUUAUUUGUUUGCAUAUCCCUGGUUGUUGAAUUUUGGAUAUUUCUUACAUGUUUUCCUAACUACUUUAUUUUGUGAGUUUAUCGAUCAUUUAGAAUCGUAGAAUCUUCCUAGAUCAGUUAAUGCGUAGCGCUUCUGUUUGAUGGCACAGCAUGGAAAUCAUGAUUUGUAAGAACUGAAAAUGUCAGCUGGAGAACUGGCAGUAGUAAGGUAGGUUCUAUAAAACACAAACAGAUGAAACAUCACGGAAAAAAGUAGCUGUAAAUCCAUGGUUGUGGAUUGUUUUUUUGUGAAUGAACAGACCUGACUAAGUAAUGGCUGUGUAUGGCUGAAACAUGUUCACUCAUCUGUUAUAUGUAUUUAGCUUGCAAUUGUUGAUGUAAGAUCAUGUUAUACAUCACUGAUAAAGAAUAAGAAUAAUGCCCUGUUUGUUUCCUAGAUGUACAGACAGGUACACAUAAAUGCAUGCGCUCUCUUUCGCUCUCUCUCUCUCUCUCUCUCUCACACACACACACACACACACACACACACACACACACACAGAGGCUAAGGCACACUCAGACAAUACGCACAGAUGGAGGCACACAGAAAGUGGAAGGGAGACACACACAGGGCAAUGUACACACAGAGACACACAUAUAGGUACACACACAGAUAAAGGUACACACUAACAGAUGAAGGUACCGGUACACACACACAGAUGAAGGUUCACACACUGAGACACAAAGGGGUUCACACACAUAUAGGUACACACACAGAUAAAGGUACACACUAACAGAUGAAGGUACCGGUACACACACACAGAUGAAGGUUCACACAUAGAGACACACAGGGGUUCACACACAUAUAGGUACACACACAGAUAAAGGUACACACUAACAGAUGAAGGUUCACACACACAGAUGAAGGUUCACACACAGACACACAGGGGUUCACACACAUAUAGGUACACACACACCCAGAGACACAGAUAAUGGUACACACACAUACACAGAUAAAGGUAGAGACACACAGAUGAAGGUACACACACACAUACAUACACACACAGAGAUGAAGAGAUACACACAGAGAGACACACAGAUGAAGGUACACACACACACAGAUGAAUCUACACACACAGAGACACACACACGCAGAUGAAGGUACUCUCACACAAAGAUGUAUGAGCGUGACACCAAAGCGUUAAUGUUUUAAAUUAAAGAACAGAAACAUCCGCAUAACUAAGACAACAGUUGACAUAAUAUGUUACAUAGUUAUAUAUGUUGCGGAGGUCUGUGAAGCAGUUGAACAUCUAUUUUGAUAAGAUUCAGCAUUUCCAUUUAAAAAAUGGAGUAUCAAUCAAACUGUUUGCAUAUGUUAUGUGCAUUUGACCAGUGUCAGUGUACCUUAUCAGAGUGAUGUGGCAUUGAGUUGCUCUGUAUGCUUGAUUUCUUGAUAGCUGAAACAAAGUCUGAGGUACAUUUUGAGCUGUCAUUUCUCACAAUCAAACAGUUAAAACCAAAUAUUUAAAACCUGUGACAGUAUAUUGGAGCUUGAUUGUGAUGUAAGCUGCCAACAAUCAAGUUAUGCAUGAACGUCAAAAGUAUUGAAUAAUUGUUCUUUUCAGUAAGAUAGUGUUCAUCAAGUAUGUCAGCUGUAAAUGUUAUGUUUUGUUAUUUGAUGCGCUCAAACUCUGAGAUUGUGUUCUAUUGUCCUCAUUUCGUAAUCUGAUAUGAUAUUAUGCCCAUGCAGACCGAGUUAUUCUGUGCCUUCUGUUUGAGUGGUGUAUCUGUUGACUGUGAAGCUAGGUUGUCCUGUACGCUCUCUGUGCACUGUACACUGUACAUAUUGCUCAACUGUGUCUUUUGUAAAAGAUUAUGACAUCCA